CCUGCGGAGGAUCAUU
rnacentral:rRNA from 1 species